AUCGCUAAUGCCGUUCUUUUCCCGCCUCGCGCACGUUCGGCACACAAAGGCCCAAAAGGUGAGGCAAGUGGAGCUAAGUAACUGGAAAAGCGCCGCAAAGCAAAGUCAAAUCCGAAGCCAAAUCACAAAGCAAUAAGUCAUUCACAGUAAAUAUUGUCUGUACCCAACCGGCAUCGUAUUAUCAUCGCCAGGUAUCCAUUGCCACCAAACGAGCGCACUGCCGACCCAGCCUUAAUUGAAAAACCCAACACGUUGAUUAAAUAUCGAGUGUGUGAAGUUCCGGCCAGAUGAUAAUCGACGCGCACGUUAUCACAACACCUGUAAACACCGGGCGAAGGGGUCGCUCGCGGUCUAUUACCGGCGAGGGGGUGUGGCGGUGAUGUAACACCUCCGAAUAUUGUCCCGGAAAAUCGUUCGAAUUACGGCAACACCACCGGUGGUUGCAGGUGAGCGCAUAAUUCUUGCCAGUGGGGAGCGGCUCUGCCGGGGGUGGUGGUUGGUGAGAGUAAACCUAGCUCGGACGGUUUAGCGAACUGCAAGCGUGCAAAGCUUCGAAUGAGCUAUGCGAGAUUUACAUUGACUCCGAGCGUUAGUUUUGUUUUGGGUUGAAAAGCAGGAAACAUUACGCUUCAACACAUUCAACCCGUACAGUGAAAGGCGAAAAUAUAUCCACAUCUAAAAUUAUCAAGUGGAGUAGAUCGUGGCUGGGAAAUUGGCCGACUUUGAAAACAAAACUUGGAAAAAGUUUUUGCAAUUUUGUACGUCGUUUUUGUUCGUAUGUUUGGAUUACAAAAACGAGUACACAGGAAAGAAAAGGCAUUUUGGAAGCUGCUUCCAUAUUACCAUGUCACGAAAAUAUUUCUCUAAGCACAAAAUGGUAAUUUUUGACUGUUUACAUGUUUGA